AGUCGAGCGGACAGAUGGGAGCUUGCUCCCUGAUGUUAGCGGCGGACGGGUGAGUAACACGUGGGUAACCUGCCUGUAAGACUGGGAUAACUCCGGGAAACCGGGGCUAAUACCGGAUGGUUGUUUGAACCGCAUGGUUCAGACAUAAAAGGUGGCUUCGGCUACCACUUACAGAUGGACCCGCGGCGCAUUAGCUAGUUGGUGAGGUAACGGCUCACCAAGGCGACGAUGCGUAGCCGACCUGAGAGGGUGAUCGGCCACACUGGGACUGAGACACGGCCCAGACUCCUACGGGAGGCAGCAGUAGGGAAUCUUCCGCAAUGGACGAAAGUCUGACGGAGCAACGCCGCGUGAGUGAUGAAGGUUUUCGGAUCGUAAAGCUCUGUUGUUAGGGAAGAACAAGUGCCGUUCAAAUAGGGCGGCACCUUGACGGUACCUAACCAGAAAGCCACGGCUAACUACGUGCCAGCAGCCGCGGUAAUACGUAGGUGGCAAGCGUUGUCCGGAAUUAUUGGGCGUAAAGGGCUCGCAGGCGGUUUCUUAAGUCUGAUGUGAAAGCCCCCGGCUCAACCGGGGAGGGUCAUUGGAAACUGGGGAACUUGAGUGCAGAAGAGGAGAGUGGAAUUCCACGUGUAGCGGUGAAAUGCGUAGAGAUGUGGAGGAACACCAGUGGCGAAGGCGACUCUUGGUCUGUAACUGACGCUGAGGAGCGAAAGCGUGGGGAGCGAACAGGAUUAGAUACCCUGGUAGUCCACGCCGUAAACGAUGAGUGCUAAGUGUUAGGGGGUUUCCGCCCCUUAGUGCUGCAGCUAACGCAUUAAGCACUCCGCCUGGGGAGUACGGUCGCAAGACUGAAACUCAAAGGAAUUGACGGGGGCCCGCACAAGCGGUGGAGCAUGUGGUUUAAUUCGAAGCAACGCGAAGAACCUUACCAGGUCUUGACAUCCUCUGACAAUCCUAGAGAUAGGACGUCCCCUUCGGGGGCAGAGUGACAGGUGGUGCAUGGUUGUCGUCAGCUCGUGUCGUGAGAUGUUGGGUUAAGUCCCGCAACGAGCGCAACCCUUGAUCUUAGUUGCCAGCAUUCAGUUGGGCACUCUAAGGUGACUGCCGGUGACAAACCGGAGGAAGGUGGGGAUGACGUCAAAUCAUCAUGCCCCUUAUGACCUGGGCUACACACGUGCUACAAUGGACAGAACAAAGGGCAGCGAAACCGCGAGGUUAAGCCAAUCCCACAAAUCUGUUCUCAGUUCGGAUCGCAGUCUGCAACUCGACUGCGUGAAGCUGGAAUCGCUAGUAAUCGCGGAUCAGCAUGCCGCGGUGAAUAGCGUUCCCGGGCCUUGUACACACCGCCCGUCACACCACGAGAGUUUGUAACACCCGAAGUCGGUGAGGUAACCUUUAUGGAGCCAGCCGCCGAAGG
rnacentral:rRNA from 1 species